GAAAUGUCUGUGCAUCACAUAUACUAAAAUCAUAAUGAUACAGAGAAGAUUAGCAUGGCCCCUGCACAAGGCUGACACGCAAAUUCAUGAAGUCUUCCAUAUUUUU
ensembl:snRNA U6 U6 spliceosomal RNA